AUAUUUAGUUCUCUGACUUUAUUACCAAUUCCAUGGAGCACAAUGUUUUUCUUCAAAUCAUUAUGAGGAUUAUACUCAGUCUGAGAAUUUGACACCUGCUGUUUCAAAACUUGAUCACAAACAUUUCAGGAUAUAUAUCAGUUAGUACAGAAGAGAUGAAUAAGAUUCAGACUGCAAUAACGUAGGAAGAUUAAAAAAAAGUCAAAAUAAAUAUUAUUCCCAGUAAGUAAAAUAAGUCGAAACAGUUAUCCAGAAUCUGGAGUGAAUAUGUUACGUGUGUUUAAAUUAGUAUUAUCAAAUAUACAACAGAGUGCUAAAAAAAAAAAAAAAAAACCCACAACAAAAAACAAGACUCCUACUAGCAGAGGAAGUAAUAUUGUUUGAAUCCCUUAACAAACUGUCAGUACGAAAGCAGCAAGACUACAGGAUACAGCUGAUGGUUAGAAGGUUAAGCUCACAACACCAGAAAUGCUUGAAUGAGAAAGAAUGGAACAUCAUUAGAUGAUAAUGGCAGCAACAUUUUCAGUUACUGUAUUAUACAACUGAAAAUCUAUUUGGAUUUAACAAGUUAGGAUUCAACUCUGUCAGACUUGGCAUAGUAUAGUACAGACCUGAACAUAACCACAAAAACAGAACCUUCUCUUAUGUUUACAUAAAUAAUGUGAUUAUUUCUGACAGUCUCUGAUACCUACACAGCCAUGUAUGUCACAGAUAGAAAAGCUGGAAGAAACAAUAGGAAUCCCUGUAAAGAUAAGAAACAGAUUGAGGCACGGCUAAUGAUGAAGGGAAUAAUCAUGCUUUGGUCCUUUGAUAGGACCAGGUAGCUAUCACGUAACAUAGCCCAUAAAGGUGUUUACAGUUCCAGUAACCGUAAGUGUUGAAACCAUCAGACACCUUCUCCCUCACCUGCAACUCUGAAUUAUUCCAAAGACAGGAAGAAUGGCACACAGCAAACAUGGGCAAGAAAGUAAUCCAGGGCAUAAAAGUUCUUGAGUUCACCAAGUGAGAAGAAAAAAUAUAAAUAUAUUGAACGAGGAAUAGAAGUUUGAUCCUCCUCCAGCACCAAUGAAUCUCAAAUCUGUGGCAGAAUCAGAGGAAGACUGGGAUGAUCUCUACCACUCCCAAAACAGCAUUUAUGAAGAACAAAUGUACAUCCUGUGGUGCUGCUUUCUAGCGUUUAAAAAAAAAAAAAAAAAAAGAAAGAAAGAAAAAUGUAUCUAGUAUAGUGCCAAAAACAUGUUUCAUGCAAGAGAUGGGAUGUGACAAAAAGGAAAGGGUGUCUGAAUCACCCCACAGUUUCAACUUGGAAAAAAAAAUCUGGCCAUUACCAGAUGGCUAAGGAAGACAAAGAGCAGGGCAAGCAUGCAUACGCAAUACCAUCCCAGACACCAACUGUUUGCAGCAUGGGGACUUCCAAAGCUGCAUGUGGUUUCUACACAUUUAAAAAACUUCAAAGGAUUUCUUUUCCUUAAGCUUGUCCAGUCUCUCUGGAAUCCAUCUCAACUUUUACCAUUCAGGAAAAGAAAUAGGGAAUGAAGGACAACUGUUCAUAUGCCUUAAACUGAGGUGAAGGAGGUGAAUGAGGAUCUGGGUUUAACUGCACAUUCUUCCUCUGGUUCAACCUAUACUUCUGGCAAUGACAUUCAAAUUCACCUCACCAGUAUGAGAACUGCAGUAAACUUUUACUCCAUUUAUAGCACACUGGAGACAGAAGACUGUUGUCAAAACUGGUUUGGACCUUGAAGAGAAUUAAUACAAGUCAUGAAUUGCCAAACGACCCUUAGGAGAAUCCUCAGAUGUUCUCCCCCAUUUCCUUACACUUAGAGUGCCUAUCACAUAGGGAUCUAUAAAGGACACAAACUUUACUCUCCUUUCAGCUUUGUGCUGAAAUCACUGUGCCAGCAUGCACUGGCAAUCUGUGAUUCAGGGAAUUUGGAGGAGGAAAAAAAAAGAAAAAAUAGACUGGGGAAACAGAAAGUCUCAGAAGAUCUCUAGUUAAGGGCAAGAGAAGAAAGAACUUCCAAGCGAACAGUCCAAUUACUUCCAACAGUCCAUUACUUCCAAGGAAGUAAUGACAGUCACCUCAAGGCUGAGGACAGGCCACAUUAUCUCAGUCCCUCUCUACAGCACCAACAUGGUUCCCCAUACUUCUCUUCACAGUACAUAUCACCACACCAAACAGCGUGGGUAACAGGAACAUGAACUAAAGAGAUGCAGUAAUGAGAGUGUGUUUCUCCACAACUAAAAAUGGAGGAGAAAGUUUUCAGUAAUAUUGCUGCUAUUCUUCUUGCAUACUUAGGUGUAUCAUCUGCCUAGAUGAUUUAGAUAUAGAUCAAUUGCAUGCUAGGGUAAGGUGCCUUGGAAGGG
ensembl:lncRNA